rnacentral:lncRNA from 1 species
ACAAGAAACGGUUGAGUACUGGGUUCUAAGAAAGAAACAAAGCAGCAACGCUAGAAUUUAAAUAAUAAUUGUGGUGAAGAUUUAUACUUUGAACUUUACAUAAGUUCUGCUUAUUUCUUCUGUUCUGCUUACAGAUCGAUUUUACAGAGUACAUCAUAGCUGGUCACAUUUAAUUUUAUCUGCAAACCUCAGUGUAUCAAGAUUUCUAUAUAGAUCAUCACAUCUGGUCUGUUUUUGCCUACAUUCUACAAAGAUUUUAACUGCUGAUGAUAAGCUGAAAACCUUUCUUCCAACAUUCUGUUGUAGUAGAGCUAUGCAGCUUCCAUGGAUUUGUAUUCCUAGUCAGAUGUCAUGGAAUGAUUUCUGAGGCUACUUUACAAUUCUUAUGAUGAUAUUUGCUUCAUUUGUUCACAUGUGAUCCAUGGAUGCAUUUCAACAUUUGAUGAUUGAAUAUCUCUUGCCAUGGACCUUCAUGAAAAUGAAGACACACCAGUAUGGUGAAACAAAGAUUUCACCUCCAAGAUACUAAUGACAUUUCAAUGAAAAACACAGCUCCAUGGACAACCAAAGAAAUAUAACUGUUCCUGUCUAUACAGCAUGUGUGCAUUCAUGAGUUAGAAAGCUACAGCAGUGGUGGUAUUGCAUCCUUGUAGAUGUGUGUCAUAUUCUGAUUGCUGCAAUGAAAGAUCUGCCAUGCAUGAUUUCAAGAAAUUUGGGUCUUGAUUUGUGCUGGAAUGAAAGGAAAGAAAAUGAUGUACAAAAUGUGCCACCACAUCAAAUGUUACAGUGCUUACAUGACACUAAAUCUUUGAAGCUAUUAAAUUUUCUUUCUUUUUUUUUUCAAAUUGCUUGUUUCUUUCAAACCUUUGUUUAACAAGACUUGUGGAAAAGACAUGAACAGGAUUAAGUUCCAUUGGGCUAAUGUGUUCUACAGAGGAAAAAACUGAGUGUAGUGAUUAGUGCAAGGUCUAUGGGUUGGACACAACUAGAGCGAUGAGAGCAUGAGAGGCAAGUGGGAUGGAAAUGUCUCAGUGGAGAUGGCAUGAGACCAGUCAACCCUGAAGAGUAGUAGCAGUAGA